rnacentral:sRNA from 1 species
GUCUUUUAUGUUACAGAUGGCACACAACUGGUAGGGAAAUCAGAUUCCGAUAAAUGGAAAAUGGACAAACAUAAAAAUCCAUAACCUGUGUUGGACAGUGGAAGUGGAAAUUAACGUGUGUUAAGAGCUUGCCUCAUAGUGUAGCCUCGAUCUACACCUGCAUCCGUCACAGAAAAGUACACUGUUGAUCAAUAAAUGAAAGGCAGCCACACAUCAGAAGAAAUGAAAUGUGCGGCCACACAUCAAAGGAUGGAAAAAAAAAAUUUUCAGGUUCAAUGGGAUCAGUAUCCUCCCUAAGCAUGAAACUGCCAAUGUUAAUUUGAUUAGAAGACAGAUGUUAUGCAACUGCAAUGCAAUGAAACUAUUCAAACAUUCUGAUGAAUCAGCUCAAAAAGACCCCCAAAAAUCAAUAAUGACAACCACAGGAGAUUAUCACCUGCCUGAUGGGUAGUUCCUUAUACAGUAAUUUGUGAAGAGGUUGUAAAUUCAAUUUUUGUUUUUUUUGUGUGUGUUUUACUUAAAUCAAGUCGAGAGAACUUGCCGUCAGAUAGAGUUUACAUCUUCAGAUAGAGGAAGUGAAUACUUUGAUAUGUUGAUAUGUGAAGUGGAGUACUUUCACAGUUUAUAUUGUAACAAACUUUUAUUGAACAAUAAAUAUUUAUAUUCUGCAUUCCAUCACUUUGAUAGGCAUUCGUCAGAAUUCUAUUCAUCAAGGACUAUAUAUAUAGGGUUGAAACUUUGAUUCACCAAUGAAAUUAUAUGAUAUUUUAAUUAUAUUAUUGUAUUGAUUAUUUUAAGGUUUUUCAUGACUUUUGUCUUCCCCAAUGUAAUGUUAUCUUCCUCCAUGUUCCUAGCAUAUGUAAUUUACAGAUUAUAUUUUUCAGAAAUCUACAAGGAAGUUUAUCUUAAUGCCAUCAUGAAUACAUGUAUGUACCAUGUAAGAGAAAGGGGUUUUGUUAGAUUAUUGUUUUUUUAAAAUUAAAAACAGAUUUUGUUUUUAGGCUUUCCUAUGAAUGCUUUGUGUGUGUUAUUGUUCUGCUUUGUGUUUUUCAUUAAUUGACAUACUUAUUUUGUAACUUUGAAAACAAAGUACAUUAUACAUCCACUUUCGUAUCUAUUUGAUUUUCAAGAUGUGAAGCCAAUGAAAAUGCAAUUUUUUUCAUAAUAAUGGCUUCUUUGCAUUAAUGUAGAACAAUAAAUGAUAUGUUUAAUUUGUUUGCAUAUAGGUAUAUAUCAACUUAUUGUAACACUUGCCAUUCAAUUACAUUGCAUUUUCAUUAUUUAUCAAAACAGAUCCCAAGAUUGAAUUUCACUGUAAGACAUGAACAAACACCGAUAUUGUGAAUAAAUAUGUUUUGCUUUUAUUGCUGUAAAUGCUUCCAUCUCAAAAUC